rnacentral:rRNA from 1 species
AUGGGGGAUACAUUUCCUAAGAAUAGCGACGGGAAGAGCAGCGGCAGCGGUGGUGGAAAGUACACGUCGCCGGCGGCCGGGAGGUCGACCACAAGCGACGGUGAUGGUGCCGUGGUGCUGGCUGCUCCGUCAAGAGCCACCAAUGUGCCCGUACAGUACCCUAUGCUGACGGACACGAAUUACUCUCUGUGGGCCAUCAAGAUGAAAGUUCUGAUGAAGGCCCUCCGUGUCUGGUCGGUGAUUGACGGCUCCGGCGAGUACGACCAAGCGGCGGACGAGGGGGCCUUCGCGGCGCUCUCUUAG